GUUUUUAUAGUAUAUUAUAAUACGUUACAUUUUCAUUGUAAAGAAGGAAGUCGUUCCUAGAGAUA
rnacentral:tRNA from 1 species